UACGUAGGGUGCGAGCGUUGUCCGGAAUUACUGGGCGUAAAGAGCUCGUAGGUGGUUUGUCACGUCGUCUGUGAAAUUCCGGGGCUUAACCUCGGGCGUGCAGGCGAUACGGGCAAUACUUGAGUGCUGUAGGGGAGACUGGAAUUCCUGGUGUAGCGGUGGAAUGCGCAGAUAUCAGGAGGAACACCGAUGGCGAAGGCAGGUCUCUGGGCAGUAACUGACGCUUAAGCGCGAAAGCUAGGGUAGCGAACGGGAUUAGAUACCCCCGUACGUCCU
rnacentral:rRNA from 1 species